rnacentral:misc_RNA from 1 species
UCCGAUUUAUCAUCGGCAGUCUCGUUAGAGUGCUCAACUGAAUGGUAGCAACUAACAAUAGGGGUUGCGCUCGUUGCGGGACUUAACCCAACAUCUCACGACACGAGCUGACGACGGCCAUGCAACACCUGUACAUACCCGGCCGAACCGAAGAAAUCUGUUUCCAGAAAUCAAAAUAUGUAUGUCAAGGGCUGGUAAGGUUCCUCGCGUAUCAUCGAAUUAAACAACAUGCUCCACCGCUUGUGCGGGUCCCCGUCAAUUCCUUUGAGUUUUAGCCUUGCGGCCGUACUCCCCAGGCGGGGUGCUUAAUGCGUUAGCUUCGGCACGGACGGAGUCGACACCGCCCACACCUAGCACCCAUCGUUUACGGCGUGGACUAC